GACGAACGCUGGCGGCGUGCCUAAUACAUGCAAGUCGAACGCAGUGGGGACGGGUGAGUAACACGUGGGUAACCUCCCAUCAGAGGGGAUAACACUUGGAAACAGGUUCUAAACCGAUCUGAUGAAUGGACCCGCGGUGCAUUAGCUAGUUGGUGAGGUAACGGCUCACCAAGGCACCGAUGCAUAGCGGACCUGAGAGGUUGAUCGGCAACACUGUGACUGAGACAGGGCCCAGAACCCUACGGGAGGCAGCAGUGGGGAAUCUUCGGAAAUGGACGAAAGUCGGACCGAGCAAGGCCGCGUGAGUGAAGAAGGUUUUCGGAUCGUAAAACUCUGUUGUUAGAGAAGCGGUAUCUAAACAGAAAGCCACGGCUAACUACGUGCCAGCAGCCGCGGUAAUUC
rnacentral:rRNA from 1 species